AACGCAUAUGGCACCUCCAGGCCCUGCCCGGAGGUAUGUCUGUUUGAGAAUCAUCUCAUCGUGCCUGCUUUUGUUGAACAAGCAAGCAAGCGACUUGGGCUCACACCACUGUCUGCCCGAAAGAGCCGCGCUGUCGUGGGGCUAAACAUGCUGCGACAGCAAAAACACACCGUGAUCUCAAAUCAGACAGGACUACCCGCCGAACUUAA
rnacentral:misc_RNA from 1 species